UAUACGAUCAACAAACAUUGACUCAUACUCCACCCAUCUCCAUCUGUUAUCUGAUCGUAACAUACAAGUUCAUGUAGAUGGACAAACCAGUUAUUAUUUUUUUGAAACCCAUAUUGUAGAGCUUUCCAAAUAUUGCAUGUACGUAGACCUGAUCGCCGAUUCUGCAUGUUGACAUUGUGAUGUAAAGUUUUAUGGAAUGCAAAACUCACCAUAAUUCAUACAAGAGCCACCACUACUGUUUAUGAUGUACGACUUACUAUAUCAGUCAACUGACUGAUUGAGUUACUGUUCAGAUAGUGCAGAGAUUUUUUUUUCUGCAUUUUCUGUGUUUCUGCACACAAACACAGUUACGCAGAUUUACUUCAUUUCAGCGGCUAUUGUGCAUGUGUGGAUGACCCCACCUGCUGGUCACAACACAAAAUUGUCAAUUUUUCCAGAUUUUUCAAAAUUGGGAUUUCUUUUUCCAAUUUUACAUCGUUUUCCACUUAUUGUUUGUUUUGCAUUAUGAGUGCUAAUAGUAAAUUUAUAUUCCAAUUAGCACAGACCGAACUCCAGAAGAUACACAAGUCGUUUCAGUUAAAACCGAGGCCAGAGGCUAAGCCAACAACUUCUUCUGAAAAGAGACACAAAGAUGAGCCACAGAACAAAUUUGUCCAUCUUUAUUAGUGAGUCAUGGGCUUGUGCACGUUUAGAUAUGAGUGGCAAACCGUGUUUAGACUUUUCGAUACCAGUGCAAGUCACAUGCUCAGACGGGUCAAAACACAGGGCUGGAAAUAUCAUAUUCAAUUAACAGGAAUCCAAGCAUUCCAUUCAAUGGUCAUGACUUUACAACACUUGAACAGAACAGAUGUUGUUUGUACAAAACGUCAUAGUGUCAUAUUUUUUGGUCAUAACUAUGGCAUUUAGGAGUUUUUUGCAGGGCUUUCAUUGUAUGAACAGUGUGGAAAUGCUUUGGAAAUGUGUGUUUUGAGUAAAAAGGACGGAAGUUGUCAAGGUAACUUCUAUGAAAAGUGGCUUCUAUAGUUUACAUCUUAAAAAUAUUCUUAAAACUGCAUGGUAGCAUCUGUGCAGGAGAAAAUAAACAUUGGAUGUCAGCGCACACGGCGGAAGUUGCAUAUAUUUUAGGUUUCUUGUACAAACUUGUUUUUUGUGGAGGAUUUUACAGAAUGCAUUUGUCACUUGGGAUUUUAUUUUAUUUUUAUUUUUUUUACUUAUUGGCAUUUUCAGACAAAAAGUCAAAGAGUUGCAGCUGUAAAAUAAUAAUAAAAAAUACAAAGCAGGGAAAAAAAUACCUGAAUUAUGAAUAUUAUUGGAAUUAGAAACACCUAUUAUCAAAAUAUAUUCGUCAUUACAAGAAAAAACAUGACUGAAUACCUGAUUAGCUAUCAGUGAUGUGUCAGAGCAGAGUAAGUUUUGUAAACUUUUACACUUAGAAUGCAUGUUUUAUCGUGUUUGUUUUUUUUUUCUUUCCUGGAUUCACAGAGACCUUACUAGCACACAACGUCAUGCACUUUAAAACUUUUACAAAGAGCACUUUCCCGUCCGAUACAGAGUGCAAACAAACUACUAGAACAGAGACGGCCGGUCAAAAAAGGAACAAGUCGAGCACGGAGAAACUGUUAUGCGUUUCAAACUACUAGAAGGACAACAUUCAGCUAACACAACCUCUGAAAGAGAAAGGCAUGCCCAGCCCCUGACUGCCUUUGUUUGAAGAUGCCGAAAGACAAGUCACAGCUACAUCUGAUUGGAGUAGGAGGUGGGCCCUCCCACCUGGCUGUACUCGGACGGCUGGUCGAAGCUCCCCUGGGUGUUGUAGCUUCCCGACUGGUCAAAGCCGCCCUGGCCGUAGGGCUGCUGGUCGAAGGUGCCGGCCUGUUUGUUGGGCGCGCUGCCUGCCAACCUGGAGCCACCCUUGUGCCAGCUGGUCUCCUUGAAGACAAACCAGAUGUUUCCAGCCCACAGAACAAAAUUGAGAAAUCCAAACACCUGAGGGGGAAAAAAAAGGGAGAAUGAUACUUGGGCAAUCAUGGACCUUGAAUCGUGAACCCUGAUUUUUUCCCCCUUAAACUAUAAGCAGGCUUUAUUGUAGAAAUAAAUGACAAAUAAAUCAA